UACGUAGGGUGCAAGCGUUGUCCGGAAUUAUUGGGCGUAAAGAGCUCGUAGGCGGUCUGUCGCGUCGGAUGUGAAAAAUCAGGGCUCAACCCUGGACCUGCAUUCGAUACGGGCAGACUAGAGUUCGGUAGGGGAGUCUGGAAUUCCUGGUGUAGCGGUGAAAUGCGCAGAUAUCAGGAGGAACACCGGUGGCGAAGGCGGGACUCUGGGCCGAUACUGACGCUGAGGAGCGAAAGCGUGGGGAGCAAACAGG
rnacentral:rRNA from 1 species